UGGCGGACGGGUGAGUAACGCGUGGAUAACCUGCCUCACACUGGGGGACAACAGUUAGAAAUGACUGCUAAUACCGCAUAAGCGCACAGGACCGCAUGGUCCGGUGUGAAAAACUCCGGUGGUGUGAGAUGGACCCGCGUUUGAUUAGCUAGUUGGUGGGGUAACGGCCUACCAAGGCGACGAUCAAUAGCCGACCUGAGAGGGUGACCGGCCACAUUGGGACUGAGACACGGCCCAA
rnacentral:rRNA from 1 species